ACAGGGGUGAGCUCAGAUGGUAGAGCGUUCGCUUAGCAUGCGAGAGGUAGGUGAUCGAUCCGCCCCCUUUCGCG